CUGGCAGGGUUGGUGGGUGCUCAGCCGCUUUUACCUCACACUUAAGCAUCCAAGGCCUCACCAAUCUGCCUCUCCGAGCCUGGAAGGAGCCAAGGUGGGAACUAGGAACCCCUAGAUGGUCCUCCAGGCAGGCCCUUUCCCGUCUGGGGCCUCUUCCUCGGUCUCUAGAGUAUGAGGACUCCAAGGAUCUCAUCCACAGGCGAAAAGAAGACUGUCUUCCUUUUUUUUAUCAACAAAGCAAAAAAUUCCCCACACCCUAUCUCCCCUCCAGUCUUUCCCUUGGGCCUCAUUGGCCAACAUUGGGUC
ensembl:lncRNA